rnacentral:rRNA from 1 species
UACGUAGGGUGCGAGCGUUGUCCGGAAUUACUGGGCGUAAAGAGCUCGUAGGUGGUUUGUCGCGUCGUCUGUGAAAUUCCGGGGCUUAACCUCGGGCGUGCAGGCGAUACGGGCAAUACUUGAGUGCUGUAGGGGAGACUGGAAUUCCUGGUGUAGCGGUGGAAUGCGCAGAUAUCAGGAGGAACACCGAUGGCGAAGGCAGGUCUCUGGACAGUAACUGACGCUGAGGAGCGAAAGCAUGGGUAGCGAACAGG